UGAUGAUUAUAUUGCGCCUAGAUUAACCAAGUAAUGUUUAGAAACUGGGGUGUUAGUGGUUCAUCUUUUCUUGAUUAGCUGAGA
rnacentral:snoRNA from 1 species